GAAGAAGGCGGAAUUCCUGGAGUAGCGGUGGAAUGCACAGAUAUCAGGAAGAACACCAAAAGCGAAGGCAGCCUUCUAGGCAGUUACUGACACUCAGGAGCGAAGGUGUGGGGCGCAAACAGGAUUAGAUAUCCUGGUAGUCCACACAGUCAACGAUGAUUACUAGGUUUUGGUGGGAUUAAAAUCAUCAGAGCUAAAGCAAAUGUAUUAAGUGAUCCGCCUGGGGAGUACGUCCGCAAGGAUGAAACUCAAAGGAAUUGACGGGGACCCGCACAAGCGGUGGAGCAUGUUCUUUAAUUCGAUGCAACACGAAGAACCUUACCUGGGAUUGACAUCCGUGGAACCGCUAUGAAAGUAGCGAGUGCUCACUUUGUGAGAACCACGUGACAGGUACUGCAUGGCUGUCGUCAGUUCGUGUCGUAAGAUGUUGGGUUAAGUCCCGUAACGAACGCAACCCCUGUCUUUAGUUGCCAGCAUUAAGUUGGGGACUCUAGAGAGACUGCCAAGGUGACAACUUGGAGGAAGGUGGGGAUGACGUCAAGUCCAUAUGGUCCUUACAUCCAGGGCGAGAAACGUGCUACAAUGGUUGGUACAAUGGGGAGCAAAAUCGCAAGAUUGAGCAAAUCCUCAAAACUAAUCUCAGUUCGGAUUGGAGUCUGCAACCCGACUCCAUGAAGUUGGAAUCGCUAGUAAUCGC
rnacentral:rRNA from 1 species